rnacentral:sRNA from 1 species
GUAAAUAUUCAUUAAAAACACACCCGCGUCGACAACUAUGGCUGGGGUGCUGAUCAUCUGUUAAGCAGAUUGAGAGGUGCAGUCGUAGGACGAGGGGAGGCAUAAA